rnacentral:misc_RNA from 1 species
AAGUCGUAACAAGGUCUCCGUAGGUGAACCUGCGGAGGGAUCAUCAAAGAAUUAUUCACACAGAAAAGAUUGGAGGGGGGGGAGUUUGAGAGAUUCACGUCUCUUGUUCGCUUCUUCUGGUCUUUUCUGAACAAACAAACAUACAUGACUAGGAAAAACAAAUUGAUUGAUUUGGUUUGGCAAACAAGCAAGAAGUUCUUGGCUGAUAAGUAGCAUUGAUUUGGAAUGUGAAUCUAUAUCAAUACAACUUUCAACAACGGAUCUCUUGGCUCUCA